CAGCAAACUAAUGAGAGGAGGAAGGAGGCCCCUACACUUGGGCACCUCCAGGAACUUACUACAGCUCCAGACACACUGUAAACACCUGCAUCCAACCUAAGAUAAACUGGAUGAAAUUGGAUUUCUGAACCACAAGACAGGCCUGAAAUGUUCCAAAGCUCAGUUCUGUGAGUAAAUUGCAACCAAGAUUUCUACAAAAAACAAAACAAAACAAACAAACAAA